CGGGGAAAGUAGCCAGUGCUCCGUGGACUGUGAACAGGAUGAAUCGCUUCCAAAUACUCAAGUUGUGACAAAGUACUCCAAUUACCAUCUGCGCGUCGUAUCACUCAGAUACAAAAUCACAAAAAAGACCAAGGAUGAAGCUUCUACGCAAGUAACACCUAAACGAAGCUUUAGAAAAAAAAAA